rnacentral:rRNA from 1 species
GACGAACGCUGGCGGCGUGCUUAACACAUGCAAGUCGAACGGAAAGUCCCUGCUUUUGUGGGGUGCUCGAGUUGCGAACUGGUGAGUAACACGUGAGUAACCUGCCCUUGCCUUUGGGAUAACUUCAUGACACUUGGUCUCAUACCGGAUAGGAGCUCCUGCUUCUUGGUGGGGGUUGGAUAGUUUCGGCGGUUGGGGAUGGACUCGCGGCUCAUCAGCUUGUUGGUGGGGUAGUGGCUUACCAAGGCUUUGACGGGUAGCCGGGCUGAGCGGGUAACCGGACAAAUGAGGACUGAGAUACGGCCCAGACUACUACGGGAGGCAGCAGAGGGGAAUAGUGCACAAGGGGAGGAAGCAUGAUGUAGCAAAGCAGCGUGCGGGAAGACGGCAUUCGGGUUGUAAACCGAUGUCGCCUGAGACGAAGCGUGAGUGACGGUAAUGGGUAAAGAAGCACCGGCUAACUACGUG